GGGGACUGGUGACUAUAGAUAUGUGCAAAUGGCUGUUACAACACAACACGUCUCUUCCAGCCUCAGAGAGAGAUAGAAAUGGUUGCUUUGGUUUGUAUUCGAGAAAUGAGAAUUCUCCCAAUUAAGAAAAGUUAACUCCAUUGACUAAUCAAUUUCAGUUUCUAUGGAGAAAUGGUGAGCCUAGAAGCAAUGUUUUAUCCAUUCUGUAUGGACGAACUUUCAGACUUCAACUAACAAUAUAAUUUUUGGCAUUAGAUGGAGACACCUUAUUGGUGAAAGAGACUUUUGGGAACAUGUUGGAGGAACUGACAUAUCACAUAUCCAUGGCUCCAUCCAGUUUUGGCCAAACAAACACACAAGUAUGCUGAAGUUACGACUCUGCAAUUCCUUUUUCUUUAUUUGGUUUUUACAUUUUUUUAUCUUAUAGGUCAGAUUACAACUGAACAAAGUAACACAUGGAAACAAGCACCAGUGUGCAUUAUGUUGUGCUUUUGAUGACAAAACUCCGAAUAUACAAAAUAUGUCAAAACAAAAUAGAGUAAGAAGAUACAAGAUUUAACGAGGUUCGGCACAAUUUGUCUACGUUCUCGGACAAAGAACAACGAAGAAUUUUACUAAUAUGAAGAAGAUUACAAAAAAGAUGAGUUAUUGAACUCGAGAA